UGAGGAAUAUUGGUCAAUGGGCGCGAGCCUGAACCAGCCAAGUAGCGUGAAGGAUGAAGGUCCUAUGGAUUGUAAACUUCUUUUAUAGCAGAAUAAAGUGACCCACGUGUGGGUUUUUGUAUGUAUGCUAUGACUAAGGAUCGGCUAACUCCGUGCCAGCAGCCGCGGUAAUACGGAGGAUCCGAGCGUUAUCCGGAUUUAUUGGGUUUAAAGGGUGCGUAGGCGGAAAGAUAAGUCAGCCUGUGAAAGUUGGCGGCUCAACCGUAAAAUUGCAGUUGUUACUGUUUUUCUUGGGUGUACAUAAGGUAGGCGGAGUUCGUGGUGUAGCCGUGAAAUGCUUAGAUAUCACGAAGAACUCCGAUUGCGAGGGCAGCUUACCGGGGUACAACUGACG
rnacentral:rRNA from 1 species